AUCGAACGCUGGCGGCAGGCCUAACACAUGCAAGUCGAGCGAGCGGCGGACGGGUGAGUAAUGUAGGGGGACUGCCCGCUAGCGGGGGAUAACUACUGGAAACGGUAGCUAAUACUGCAUACUAUCGGAUCACCCAUAUGGGAUUAGCUAGUAGGUGAGGUAAUGGCCCACCUGGGCGAGGAUCCCUAGCUGGUCUGAGAGGAUGAUCAGCAACACGGGAACUGAGACACGGCCCAGACUCCCGGGGAGGCGGCAGUGGGGAAUAUUGCACAAUGGGCGCAGGCCUGAUGCAGACAUGCCGCGUGUAUGAAGAGGGCCCUGGGGUUGUAAAGUACUUUAAGACGGGAGGCGUUACCGACAGAGGAAGCACCGGCUAACUCCGUGCCAGCAGCCGAGGUAAUUC
rnacentral:rRNA from 1 species